AUUGAACGCUGGCGGCAGGCCUAACACAUGCAAGUCGAACGGAGUGGCGGACGUGUGAGUAAUUUAUCGGAACGUGCCCAGUAGCGGGGGAUAACUACGCGAAAGCGUAGCUAAUACCACAUACUAUUGGAGCGGCCGUUAUCGGAUUAGCUAGUUGGUGGGGUCACGGCUUACCAAGGCGACGAUCCGUAGCUGGUUUGAGAGGCCGACCAGCCACACUGGGACUGAGACACGGCCCAAACUCCUACGGGAGGCAGCAGUGGGGAAUCUUGGACAAUGGGGGAAACCCUGAUGCAGCCAUGCCGCGUGAGCGAUGAAGGUUUUCGGGUUGUAAAGCUCUGUUGGCAGGGAAGCGGUACUUACCGAAUAAGCAACGGCUAACUACGUGCCAGCAGCCGCGGUAAUUC
rnacentral:rRNA from 1 species